AGCGAACGCUGGCGGCAGGCUUAACACAUGCAAGUCGAGCGGGCACCUUCGAGUGUCAGCGGCAGACGGGUGAGUAACACGUGGGAACGUACCCUUCGGUUCGGAAUAACGCUGGGAAACUAGCGCUAAUACCGGAUACGCCCUUAUGGGGAAAGGUUUACUGCCGAAGGAUCGGCCCGCGUCUGAUUAGCUAGUUGGUGGGGUAACGGCCUACCAAGGCGACGAUCAGUAGCUGGUCUGAGAGGAUGAUCAGCCACACUGGGACUGAGACACGGCCCAGACUCCUACGGGAGGCAGCAGUGGGGAAUAUUGGACAAUGGGCGCAAGCCUGAUCCAGCCAUGCCGCGUGAGUGAUGAAGGCCUUAGGGUUGUAAAGCUCUUUUGUCCGGGACGAUAAUGACGGUACCGGAAGAAUAAGCCCCGGCUAACUUCGUG
rnacentral:rRNA from 1 species